rnacentral:rRNA from 1 species
ACAUGUCUUUUUGAGUUAAAUAUAAGGUCUGACCUGCCCACUGAUAUAAAUUGAAGGGCCGCGGUAUUUUGACCGUGCAAAGGUAGCAUAAUCAUUAGUCUUUUAAUUGAAGGCUGGUAUGAAUGGUUUAACGAGGCAUUAGCUGUCUCUUUAUUAAAGAUUGAAUUUAACUUCUUAGUGAAAAGGCUAAGAUGAUAUUAGAGGACGAGAAGACCCUAUAGAGCUUUAUAAGUUUCUUUUGAUUUAAGUUUUUAGGGGUUUUAAAGUUAUUUAAAAAGAAUUUAUUUAGUUGGGGUGACUUAGAGAUUAAUUAAACUCUCUAUUUCUUUAAACAAAAAUGCUUGGAUUAAAUUGAUCCUAUUUUAAGGAUAAAAAGAUUAAGUUACCUUAGGGAUAACAGCGUAAUAUUAUUAGAGAGUUCUUAUCGAUAAUAGUGUUUGCGACCUCGAUGUUGGACUAAGAAUACAAUUAGGCGCAGUAGUUUAGUAUGUAGGUCUGUUCGACCUUUAAAUUCUUACAUGAUCUGAG